UCAAAGUGACACCGUAGGAAGACACACAAGAAACCGCAGAUCGAGACAUGAAGGAGUCAAAGCGAAGAGAAAGCCUGAACGGAUGACCCCCAAUCGAUGCUAGUACAAAGCGAAAAAGAUGACACACCACCACAUCCUUGACAGCCAUCAACGACUGAAUAACACGCCAGAUCCAUAACAGCCACACCAUAGAUACGAACCAAACUCAAAACCUCAUGAAAACACACACGAGGUAAAUCAAAACAAAGACAAAGAGAACGGCUGGUCCUAGCAAUCUCUGCAGCGAAAAUGUGUAGAUAUAUGUUGUUUACUAAAUUAGUUUAAUAAAAUAUAUUUGUUAAAUAGUUAGUGUUCAUUUGGAAUGAAUGUAGCAGCUCAAUGAAAAUAAACAAUAAUACUACAGUUUCACAUAACUUGAACAAAAAUAGUUGUGGUUCAUUAAGAGAAAUUUUGUAACUCAUUAUAUCCAAAAAUAAAUAAUUAAAACGAUCCAAAUUUUUAUACUGAAAAUCAAAGAAUUGCCUAAAACGGCAAUACAUUAUUAUUUAAAAUAAAUUUUUUAUUAUUUUAUACAUAUUUUAUACAUAUAAAUUACAAAACAAGUCCAUAUUUAUGACCAAUUAAAAUGAAAUAUUAAAAAAAAAUUGUAUAAUAAAAGCUAAGGUUUAGUUUAUAUUUAUUAUUCAAUAUAUUUGUGUAAGGGUGAUGUUGACAGGAGAGAAAAAGUAUUGGCUUUUGGGUUUGGUAUAAGAAGUAAAAGGAACGAGGGAGAGAGAGAUUUGAGACUAAAGUGGACAAAAGUGGGAGAGAGAGGUGACAGCUUUUUCUCUUUGUUCAGAUGUGUUGUUGUUGUACAUUCAAAUACAUGAGACACAUACUAUUUAUAGUGCAAAAGAGUCGGUCACUUACACCGACUUCUAAGAAAAAUACAAAAUAAGAAAGGAUAAUAUUUAUCCUAAAUAGCAAGUGGAUAAUCAUAUCAUUUGAUAAUAUUUUUUGAUAUUAUCUCUUUAACACUCCCCCUUGAUUAUCCAUCUUGUAUUACGUAGUGCCUCGUUAAAAACUUAGUCAUGGAAAAAUCCAUUGGGACAAAAACCAUGACAAGGGAAAAAGAGUACACCGCCGUAAUCUCUCCCUGAGAAUAAUGGACACAGCUUUUUCUUCACAGGUCACGCAAAUGCCGCAUUCUGAUACCGUAGACGUGUUUUCGGAAUGUUGUAGUCGGAAGAGCUUUGGUGAACAAGUACAGGUCACGCAAAUGCCGCAUUUCGAUACCAUAGACGUGUUUUCGGAAUGUUGUAGUCGAAAGAGCUUUGGUGAACAAGUCAGCCGGAUUUUCGCAUGACUGUACAUACUCAAUGUCCACUUCUUUAUUUUUCUCAAAUUCUCGUAUGUAUGAGAAAAAUCUUGGAGGGACGUGCUUUGUUCUGUCACUCUUAAUGUAGCCUUCCUUGAGUUGAGCAACACAAGCCGAAUUAUCUUCAAAUAUUUUUGUCGGCUCUUUCUUGUUAACUAUUUCGCUUGAUUCUUGUAUGUGGUGACUCAUUGACCGAAGCCAUACACAUUCUCGACAUGCUUCGUGAAGCGCAAUAAUUUCAGCAUGAUUUGAAGAAGUCGUAACCAGAGUUUGUUUCUGGGACCGCCAAGAGAUCGCGGUUCCACCAAUUGUAAAAACGUAGCCGGUUUGCGAUCGAGCCUUAUGAGGAUCUAAUAAGUAUCCUGCAUCUGCAAAACCAACUAUACCAAACUCGGGUUUUCUAAAAUACAUUAACCCUAAAUCAAUUGUACCUUGGAGGUAACGGAAUACAUGCUUUAUUCCGUCCCAGUGCCUGCGAGUAGGAGCAUAACUAUAUCUUGCCAGGAGGUUAGUAGCAAAGGCAAUAUCUGGCCUGGUACAGUUUGCAAGAUAUAACAGCCCACCGAUAGCACUCAUAUAAGGUACUUCUGGACCUAAUAUCUUCUCGCUAUAUUCGCAGGGCCUAAAAGGAUCACUCUCAACAUUGAGAGAUCUACCAAUCAUUGGAGUACUCAAAGGAGUCACUUUGUCCAUACGAAAGCGUUUCAAUAUCCUUUUCGUAUAGUUUGAUUGAUGCACAAAUAUCCCUUCUCGGAGAUGCUCUAUCUGGAGCCAAAGAAAAAACUUUGUCUUGCCGAGAUCUUUCAUUUCGAACUCCUCUUUCAUAUGAGGUCGAGCAUCAUUAACCUCCUUUUGAGUUCCAAUUAUGUUCAGGUCAUCUACAUAUACAGAAAUGAUCACAAAGCCAGAUGACGAUUUCUUUAUAAAAACGCAUGGACAUAUCACAUUAUUCACAUAUCCUUUACUCAAAAGAUAUUCACUUAAGCGAUUGUACCACAUGCGUCCGAAUUGCUUUAAUCCGUAAAGUGAUCGCUGUAACUUGACCGAACAAAUCUCCCUGUAUUUUUCUUUCAAUACCCCUGGCAUUUUCAAUCCCUCAGGGAGUUUCAUAUAUAUAUCGUUAUCCAACAUCCCUGUAUUUUUCUUUCAAUACCCCUGGCAUUUUCAAUCCCUCAGGGAGUUUCAUAUAUAUAUAUCGUUAUCCAACGAUCCAUACAAAUAUGCAGUCACAACGUCCAUAAGAUGCAUUUCAAGAUUUUUAGAUGCCGUUAGGCUCAUCAAAAAUCUAAACGUAAUUGCAUCCAUUACCGGGGAAUACGUUUCCUCAAAAUAAAUUCCUGGUCUUUGGGAAAAACCUUGAGCAACUAAUUGGGCUUUAUAACGUGUUACUUCAUUUUUCUCAUUUACUUUUCUCACGAAUACCCACUUAUACCCAACAUGGCCUAAAAGGAUCACUCUCAACAUUGAGAGAUCUACCAAUCAUUGGAGUACUCAAAGGAGUCGCUUUGUCCAUACGAAAUCGUUUCAAUAUCCUUUUCGUAUAGUUUGAUUGAUGCACAAAUAUCUCUUCUCGGAGAUGCUCUAUCUGGAGACCAAGACAAAAAUUUGUCUUGCCGAGAUCUUUCAUUUCGAACUCCUCUUUCAUAUGAGUUCGAGCAUCAUCAACCUCCUUUUGAGUUCCAAUUAUGUUCAGGUCAUCUACAUAUACAGCAAUGAUCACAAAGCCAGAUGACGAUUUCUUUAUAAAAACGCAUGGACAUAUCGCAUUAUUCACAUAUCCUUUACUCAAAAGAUAUUCACUUUAGCGAUUGUACCACAUGCAUCCGGAUUGCUUUAAUCCGUAAAGUGAUCGUUGUAACUUCACCGAACAAAUCUCCCUGGAUUUUUCUUUCAAUACCCCUGGCAUUUUCAAUCCCUCAGGGAGUUUCAUAUAUAUAUAUCGUUAUCCAACGAUCCAUACAAAUAUGCAGUCACAACGUCCAUAAGAUGCAUUUCAAGAUUUUUAGAUGCCGUUAGGCUCAUCAAAAAUCUAAACGUAAUUGCAUCCAUUACCGGGGAAUACGUUUCCUCAAAAUCAAUUCCCGGUCUCUGAGAAAAACCUUGGGCAACUAAUUGGGCUUUAUAUCGUGUUACUUCAUUUUUCUCAUUUACUUUUCUCACGAAUACCCACUUAUACCCAACAGAAUUUACGUUCUCAGGCGUUAUGACUAUAGGUCCAAAGAAAUUUCUUUUAUUUAGGGAGAGUAAUUCAAUUUGAAUGGCCUUCUUCCACUCCUCCCAAUCAUGUCUUUUCUGACAUUCCAAAAUGGACCUUGGAUCGGGAUCAUCAUUUUCAUGAUCGAUCUCUUUGGACACAGAAAAGGAGAACAUUCCAUCAACAUCUUUUAUCUUAUUUCUGAUCCAUAAUUUUUCAUCUCGGGCGUAGUUGAUGGAAAUCUCAUAUUUUUAUGUUCCCUUCUCGUCAUCUGGAUCAUUUUUAUCUAUGCCUUCUUUGAGACAUUUUUCAUUAACAGGUUCUUCUAAAACCUUUCUAUUUAUGUCUUCUUUCAGGCAUCUUUCAAUAUCAAGUUCUUCUAGAACCUUACUAUUUUGCUCAUCCAAUUUCUUUUUCUUUCGGGGAUUAUUAUUUUUAGAACCCGCUGGCCUCCCCCUCUUUAACUGAACCCUAGGUUCAUUCAUUUUAUUUCCAUCAGUUUUUUUCUUUAGGAACAUCAACUCUUGAUGGAACAUUUUCAGCUGGUAUACAUGACUUCGUCACCCUUCUCGUAUCUGUGAACGCAUCUGGUAACUGGUUUGCCAAAUUAUGCAAAUGCACAAUUUUCUGAAGUUUCAGCUCUCUUUGAUUCGUAGGGGGAUCAAGGUGUAACAACGACGGUGUACACCAAGUAAUCUCUUUAGGAAUUCUAUUAUUUCCACCCCCUAACGCUGGAAAUUCAUUCUCAUUAAAAUGGCAAUCGGCAAAUCGUGCCGUAAACAUAUCACCAGUUACUGGUUCCAGAUAUCUUAUUAUACUUGGUGACGUAUAACCCACAUAUAUUCUCAAUCUCCUUUGUGGGCCCAUUUUCGUUCUUUGUGGUGGUGCUAUCGGAACAUAGACUGCACACCCAAAGACACGGAGAUGGGAUACAUAUGGCUCUUGCCUAGAUCCCAAUUGUAAUGGGGAGUACUUAUGAUAUGCACUCGGUCUUAACCGAACCAGAGUAGCUGCAUGCAAUAUAGCAUGACCCCGUACAGAAAUUGGGAGCUUCGUUCUCAAGACUAACGGUCUUGCAAUCAACUGCAACCGUUGUAUCAAUGACUCGGCCAUGCCAUUUUGUGUAUGUACAUGGGGAACUGGAUGCUCCACAUCAAUCUCCAUUGACAUACAAUAAUCAUCAAAGGCUUGCAAUGUAAAUUCACCAGCAUUAUCAAGCCUUACUUUCAUAAUGGCAUACUCUGAGAACUGCGUUCUCAGCUUUAUUAUCUGGGCAAUGAACUUUACGAAAGCCGUAUUUCGUGUCGUCAAAAGAGACACACUUGACCAUCUACUAGAUGCGUCAAUCAAUACCAUGAAAUACUUAAACGGCCCGCACGGUGGGUGGAUCGGCCCACAUAUAUCACCAUGUAUCCUUUCUAAAAACAUUGGUGAUUCAUUGCCUACUUUUGCUGGUGAUGGCCGAGUUAUAAGUUUCCCUUGAGAACAGGCAUUGCAUGUAAAUUCGCCCGUUUGCAAAAAAUUUCCGGUUUUCAACGGAUGGCCAUUCGAAUUUUGCACUAUCUUUCUCAUCAUGACUGAACCAGGAUGUCCUAGCCUCUCAUGCCAAAUUUUAAAUGUAUCAGUAAACUUCAUGUUUACCACGGCAUAGGACUCAGUCAUGGUUAUUUUCGUACAAUAUAGUCAAGAGGAUAACAUUCUUAACUCUUCCAAUAUAUGUUUCCUCUCGGACUUAAUGCAAAGAAAUUCAGUGCCAUUUUUACUCAUAUCCUUAAAACUUAACAAGUUUCUAUGAGACUCGGGGGAAUACAAUGCAUUACUUAUUUCAAAUAUUGUUCCCCCUGGCAUUGAAAAUUUCGCUCUUCCAGAGCCCAUAAUAAUCUUUGCAUUACCAGAUAUUGUACUUACGCUUCCAGCGUAAUCUCUUAUUUUGAGACUGGAGAAAUAUUUCUUAUCUUUAAUUAUCGUGUGCGUUGACGCACUAUCUGCCAAACACAAAUCUCCAUCCAUAGUCUCAAAGUUUGCAUUUUCUGAAUAUAAAACAUAUAUUAUUAAACAUUAAACAUGAAACAUAACAUAUAUCUUACAACAAAAGAUAUAGAUACUAUAAUACAGUCUAUUUAUAUCACAUCGAUCUACAUCACUCAUCGAUACUCUCUGGCUCAACCAGAAAAUCUGAUACGUCGAGAUGAGUAUCAUCGUUCAAACCAUGAAAGGAUGGCCCAGGUUCAUCAGAGAUGAAGUUUGUUUCACCUCUUCCUUUCUCUUUUCCCUUUUGGGAUUCUCUAUACAGAUCGGCUAAAUGUUUUGGCGUACGACAGUUACGUACCCAAUGACCUUUCAUGCCGCAUAUGUAGCAAACCUUUCCCGUUUGCCUUUUAUCAUCCUGACCCUUUUCAUUCCUUUCAUUUUCGUGGAAGUCUUUAUUAUUUCUUUCAUCAUAGGGACGAAAUCUUCUUCCUCGUCCUCUUCCACGACCAUGAUAACGGUUUCCACCACGUCCACGACCUCGUCCUCUUCUAUUAUCAUAACUGGAUGAUGCAACAUUCGCUUCAGGGAAUGGAGCAGAUCCAGUGGGACGAGCUUGAAGGUUUAAAGUCACGAGUUGAUUAUUCUGCUCCGCUACAAGGAGGACUUGCAUCAACUCCGAGUAACGGGUAUUUCCAUUCACCCGGUACUGUUUCUGCAAGAUUAUAUUUUCAGGAUGGAACGUGGAGAGAGUUUUCUCGAUCAUAUCAUAAUCACUUAUUUUCUCUCCACAUAAGAUCAUCCUCGAAGUAAUUCCGAACAUCGCGGAAUUAAACUCACUAACACUUUUGUAAUCCUGGAACCGGAGGUGGAUCCACUCGUGUUUAGCUUUCGGUAAGAUCACAUAUUUCUGGUGAUCGAACCUCUCUUUUAAAGAUUUCCAGAGGUCACAAGGAUCCUCUUUCGUAAUAUAUUCAUCCUUUAAACCAUCAUGGAUGUGGUGUCGUAAAAAUAUCAUGGCUUUUGCCUUUUUCUCAUCCGACACCGUUUUCGAACUAUCGAUGGUUUCCAAAAGCCAAUUUCCUCUCAGGUGCAUUUUUGCACCCACUGCCCAGGUCAUAUAAUUAUUUCCCGUAGUAUCCAGGGCAUUAAUUUUGAGCUUUGUCAAAUUCGACAUGAUAAAUGUAUUCAUAGAAUAAUGUUAUCAAUAUAGUAAAGACGGGAAUUUAAAUUCAAAAUUUAAAUGCAAAAAUUAAAGGCAUAAAAUAAAAGCAUAAACUUAAAUUGCAGAAAUUUAAAUUGCAGAAAUUUAAAUUGCAUAAACAAAAUCGAGAGGCUCAGCCUACCACAUGAUCCGAGGAGUCAUAAACUACCAUAUUGAUCAUUUUUUCAUAGUCCGAGGAGACAUGGUCUACCAUUUUGACUUUUACUUAUUUCAAGGUCCGAGGAGACUUAGUCUACCAUUUUUGGCCUUUUAUUUUUAUUCACGGAGGCAAAGCCUACCACGUGUUUCUCUGAUCGUGAAGGCAUAGCCUACCAUAACGAUCAGUCGGGGAAGGCAGCGCCUAUCAUCCCGAAAAAUAAACGGAGAAGGUCCAGCCUCUCACUCCGAAAUAAUAAUAAAAUUUAAAUAAAUUAAAUAUAUUGAAAUACAUAAAUUUAAACAAUACCUCGACUGGUUUAAGAAUUUUCGGAUUGAUAAACCUCAGUUGGUCAGAGCUUCGUACUGAUAACGUGUUGUAUAAUAAAAGCUGAGGUUUACUUUAUAUUUAUUAUUCAAUAUAUUUGUGUAAGGGUGAUGUUGACAAAAGAGAAAGAGUAUUGGCUUAAAAGGAAGGAGGAAGAGAGAGAUUUGAGACUAAAGUGGACAAAAGUGGGAGAGAGAGGUGACAGCUUUUUCUCUUUGUUCAGAUGUGUUGUUGUUGUACAUUCAAAUACAUGAGACACAUACUAUUUAUAGUGCAAAAGAGUCGGUCACUUAUACCGACUUCUAAGAAAAAGACAAAAUAAGAAAGGAUAAUAUUUAUCCUAAAUAGCAAGUGGAUAAUCAUAUCAUUUGAUAAUA
rnacentral:lncRNA from 1 species